UAGGGAAUCUUCCGCAAUGGACGAAAGUCUGACGGAGCAACGCCGCGUGAGUGAAGAAGGCUUUCGGUUCGUAAAACUCUGUUGUUAGGGAAGAAAAAAUGUAUAGUAACUAUAUACAAAAGAGACGGUACCUAACCAGAAAGCCACGGCUAACUACGUGCCAGCAGCCGCGGUAAUACGUAGGUGGCAAGCGUUGUCCGGAAUUAUUGGGCGUAAAGCGCGCGCAGGUGGUUUGGAAAGUCUGAUGUGAAAGCCCACGGCUCAACCGUAGAGGGUCAUUGGAAACUAAUAAACUUGAGUGCAGUAGAGAAAAGUGGAAUUCCUGGUCGAGCGGUGAAAUGCGUAGAGAUUAGGAGGAACACCGGUGGCGAAAGCGGCUUUUUGGCCUGCAACUGACACUGAGGCGCGAAAGCGUGGGGAGCAAACAGG
rnacentral:rRNA from 1 species